AUCGCCGCUGCUAAGCUAUCCCUCGCUGCUAAGCUAUCACUGCUAAUCUAUCUAUUGCUGCAAGCUAUCCCUCGCUGCUAAGCUAUCGCUGCCAACCUAUCUAUCGCUGCCAACCUAUCUAUCGCUGCCAAUUUAUCUACCACUGCCAAUCUAUCUAUUGCUGCUAAUCUAUCGCUGCUGUCAAUCUAUCUAUCGCUGCUAAUCUAUCUAUCGCUGCUAAUCUAUCGCCGCUGCCAAUCUAUCCCUCACUGCUAAGCUAUCCCUCGCUGCUAAGCUAUCACAGCCAAUCUAUCGCUGCUAAUCUAUCGCUGCCAACCUAUCUACCGCGGCGAAUCUAUCUAUCGCUGCCAAUUUAUCUACCACUGCCAAUCUAUCUAUCGCUGUCAAUCUAUUGCUGCUAAUCUAUCGCUGCUAAUCUAUCGCUGCUGCCAAUCUAUCUUUCGCUGCUAAUCUAUCGCCGCUGCCAAUCUAUCCCUCGCUGCUAAGCUAUCCCUCGCUGCUAAGCUAUCCCUCACUGCUAAGCUAUCUCUCGCUGCUAAGCUAUCCCUCACUACUAAGCUAUCUAUCACUGCUAAUCUAUCGCUGCCAAUCUAUCUAUCACUGCCAAUCUAUCUAUCGCUGCUAAUCUAUCGCUGCUAAUCUAUCGCUGCUAAUCUAUCGCUGCCAACCUAUCUACCGCGGCGAAUCUAUCUAUCACUAUCAUUACUAGUUCAAAAUAGAACUAGAGCAUAAAUACACUAAACUUCUUUUGAUAGAUAAUGAUUUUUGGUAACACUCAUAGCAUUAUAUCAUCUAUAUAGGGUAAAUCAUGGUCCCAUUUGGUCCCAUUUUAACAAAAUGGGACCAAAUGGGACCAGAAUCAGUAAUUUAUAAGAAGAACAUGAUCUGAGACUAGAUUUAUAAUAUAAACAGUGUAAAGUGACUAAUUUAAUAAACACUAUAUGGGACC
rnacentral:sRNA from 1 species